UACGAAGGGGGCGAGCGUUGUUCGGAAUUACUGGGCGUAAAGGGUGUGUAGGUGGACGUGUAAGAUAGCGGUGAAAUGCCGGAGCUCAACUUCGGAAUUGCCAUUAUAACUAUGCGUCUAGAAUUAUAGAGAGGAUAGCGGAAUACCCAGUGUAGAGGUGAAAUUCGUAGAUAUUGGGUAGAACACCAGUGGCGAAGGCGGCUAUCUGGCUAUAUAUUGACACUGAGGCACGAAAGCAUGGGGAUCAAACAGG
rnacentral:rRNA from 1 species